UAAUACGGAGGGUGCAAGCGUUGUCCGGAUUCAUUGGGUUUAAAGGGUGCGCAGGCGGGACAUUAAGUCAGGGGUGAAAGACGGUUGCUCAACAAUCGCAGUGCCUUUGAUACUGGUGUUCUUGGGUAACCUUGAGGUAGGCGGAAUGGGUGGUGUAGCGGUGAAAUGCAUAGAUACCACCCAGAACUCCGAUUGCGAAGGCAGCCUACUGGAGGUCAACCGACGCUCAGGCACGAAAGCGUGGGGAUCAAACAGGAUUAGAUACCCUGGUAGUCCACGCCGUAAACGAUGAUCACUCGCUGUGGGGGCGCAUGCUUCCGCGGCUUAGCGAAAGCGUUAAGUGAUCCACCUGGGGAGUACGCUCGCAAGGGUG
rnacentral:rRNA from 1 species